rnacentral:lncRNA from 1 species
GGGUGAAGAGAAUUUGAGUCCAAGAACAGUUGAGUCCAAGCUGAAAUUAGAUUGAGUCCCUGCAAUAAGUGAUUUGAUUCACAAUGGGUUAGCCUCUUUAGUAUCAAUUAGAUUAAGUCCAAGGCGUGAAUGGGUCCAUGGCUAAUUAGAAGUGGUCACAUGUCAAAAUAAAGAGAAGUUCAACCAUGAAGACCUCUUACAUGUGGAAGAAAUUCAGAGUUCAGAUCUAGUUGAAAUCCGUGACAGAUUGAACACCAUAUGAUAUUUUGAAUAUUUCGGAAGCUACAGAAGUCUGAUUAAGUUGAAUCAAAUUUUGUUGGAAA